rfam:Gossypium raimondii Chr13_contig_1284, whole genome shotgun sequence.
UAUUAAAAAUUUAUCCAGUUGUACUGUUAAAAAUUGACAUGGCUAAUGAAAUAACCAAACAAUGAUAUGUGCCGUGCCAUAUGCACCUCAUGUUGACGUACAAAUAUCAAUUUUUAACAGUAGAAAUGAAUGAAUUUUUUUGUA